rnacentral:rRNA from 1 species
CAGCAGCCGCGGUAAGACAGAGGAUGCAAGCGUUAUCCGGAAUGAUUGGGCGUAAAGCGUCUGUAGGGGGCUUUUCAAGUCCGCCGUCAAAUCCCAGGGCUCAACCCUGGACAGGCGGUGGAAACUACCAAGCUGGAGUACGGUAGGGGCAGAGGGAAUUUCCAGUGGAGCGGUGAAAUGCGUUGAGAUCGAAAAGAACACCAACAGCGAAAGCACUCUGCUGGGACGACACUGACACUAAGAGACGAAAGCUAGGGGAGCAAAUGGGAUUAGAUACCCCGGUAGUCCCUGUCUCUUAUAC